rnacentral:lncRNA from 1 species
UCGUCGUCUUCUCCUCCACCGGCAAGCUCUCCCAGUUCGCCAGCUCCAGGCACGUACCCUCGCCCCUCUUUCUUCCCCGCCCUCACCCCCCCAUCUCCCACUCCCAUCUCACAUACGCACAUAUACAUGCGUUCUUCUAUCUUCUUCUCCAUUCUCGCUUCAUAUUUUCAUUAGAUCUGCCUCCUCUUCUCGAGUUCCCGGCUCGAUGCGGGCUCUGGAUCCUUUCCUUGCACUAGCGCUAGGGUUUCCCGCAUCAACAGCUACACAUCCGGCCAUCCAAACGCGCGCCAUGGUUUCCUCCUCCACCGCUAGCCAGG